UUGACCUCGGAUCAGGUAGGAUA
rnacentral:rRNA from 2 species